CCCUUCAGGCCCCUCAGGGCCUUUGCUGCCGCGUCUCCUCGGCGCCCGGGAACACCCCAGCGGCGUCUCCUGCUCGGGCUGUGCCGCCCUGCGGGCUGCCUGUGCCACGGGCCGCCGAGUGAGUGCCCCUCCCGCCUGCCCCGGCCUUGAGGGCGGUGGGGCGGGUGAGCCGAGGCCGUGGGUGCCCCUCAGCACCCGCUGCAGGCACCUCAGCUGCGGGCUCACCUGGACAGUAAUCUUCAUGUGUCGGCCAAACAUAGCAUUUGGUUAGCCAAUCACCCUGGGAUUUGAAGGCUUUUUCUACUUUCUCCCUCUUCAGCCAGAAGUGGAAGUGUGUUCAGGCAACUGCUGAACCAGACCUUCAUUUUGGAAGAGUCACAAGCAAGAAGUGUUUCUCUUCAGAGCCUGGAGCAGUCAGUGCAAAGGCACUGCUGUAGUGUCCUUCUGCCCCUGCUCUGAGGGCUCCCUGUCAGCAUGACUGGAACAGCAGGAGAUGAGCUAGAAACAAAUGCAGAAACAAUAACUCGGCAGAGACAUUUGUUCAACAUCAGCCAAGUGACAGUGGCUGAGCGGGGAGCUCAAGCCCAGCCAGAGCAGCACCACACAACUUGAAAUACCUUUGCUAUGCAGAUUUAAGACUCACUCACUGUUCCUUCUCCUGCAAGAUCCUUCUCCAACCAGCCAUAAUACAGUAAUGUGGCAUUAAUAACACAGUAUUAACUGAUAUACAAUCAGUGCUAGCAGAACGUUUACCUUUGCAAACCACUAUAGAGCACUGCAUCUCCAAUUCUUAUCCUACCAGUAAUUCAAACAUGAAGCUCAUUACACUGCAACUUACAUUUCUGUGCCAGCCCUGGACCCUGCUCCACACAGGCCCCACGCCUCUCAGGAUGACCACCCCCUGUAACUACUGCGGAUUUAAACCUGCUGCGCAACAGGCACAGCGUUUCACUUAGAGCUGCAGCUACUGUUUAAAACACCAUGACGGAAAAGCUGCAAGGGGCUCUGUGGAAGUGGCGCCUCCCACGGGUCCCAGCCUUGCUCUCAAGACACAGGCCCACACCUCUGUGCUAACUUCUAGCUUUCAGGAUAAUUUAAGUACAUUUACUUGCAAACUUGGGAUGUCAUUACUGACCUCUAGCACCUCAGCGACAGUCCCACCCAUGACAGAGGGGGGUCGCAGUACCCGACUCCGAACAGCAGGACUCAGCCGCAGCCGGCAGGGCAGAGGGCUGUCCCUUCCCGUCCCCGCACCCUACCUGACCCGUGCUGCUGGCGGAGGAUGGCGGCCUGUCCGGGCGGCGGCGAGGCCGAGGA